GAUACCGGAAGGUGUACUUGGAAA
rnacentral:rRNA from 1 species